rnacentral:rRNA from 1 species
CAUUGUCGAGGCCCCCRAGAGAYCGAGCGAUUCCGGCGRCCCGUGARCUCUACGAGCACGGUGCCGGCGUUACACCCCUCCCUCUGCCGCCUCCCCUCGCSGGGAGCCGCGGCACSGGGCUGGAUGGAAAACAAUAUCGGCGCAGCGCCGCGCCAAGGUACAUGUGCGAUGCGGGCAUCUCCGGCGCCUCCUCGGAGCCCGACGGGCCKGGUGGRGUGCCGCCGCUGCUCCUCAUGGAAUGUAGGACUCUCGGCAAUGGAUAUCUUGGCUCUUGCAUCGAUGAAGAGCGCAGCGAAAUGCGAUACGUGGUGCGAAUUGCAGAAUCCCGUGAACCAUCGAGUUUUUGAACGCAAGUUGCGCCUGAGGCCAACCGGCCGAGGGCACGUCCGCCUGGGCGUCAUGCAUUACGUCGCUCCGCCCCGCGCCCCCAUCGAAGACGGUGCGGCGGUGCYGGGCCGGAUGCGGAGAGUGGCCCGUCGCGCGCUCACCCGCGCGGCGGGCUGAAGAGCGGGACGCCUCCCUCUUUGAUAUUGGCCGAUAAGGGGUGGAUGCACAGCUGCCGGUUCSGCGCACAUUAUCGCUGUCGUGCCAUUGCGUGGAGGGAGGCGGGAUAACAGCCUAGGCCGAACCUCGCCCUCGCGCGGCAGGUUGCGCCUYGAAAUGCGACCCCAGGAUGGGCGGGAU